rnacentral:rRNA from 1 species
UGGGGAAUAUUGGACAAUGGGGGCAACCCUGAUCCAGCCACGCCGCGUGAGUGAUGAAGGCCUUCGGGUCGUAAAGCUCUGUGGGGAGGGACGAACGUCCGGGUGAAGAAUCCGGGGUGACGGUACCUCCUUAGCAAGCACCGGCUAACUUCGUGCCAGCAGCCGCGGUAAUACGAAGGGUGCAAACGUUGCUCGGAAUCAUUGGGCGUAAAGCGCACGUAGGCGGCUUCAAAAGUCGGAUGUGAAAUCCCUCGGCUCAACCGAGGACGUGCAUCCGAAACUGUGAGGCUUGAGUACUGAAGAGGAUCGCGGAAUUCCCGGUGUAGAGGUGAAAUUCGUAGAUAUCGGGAGGAACACCAGUGGCGAAGGCGGCGAUCUGGGCAGAUACUGACGCUGAGGUGCGAAAGCGUGGGGAGCAAACAGGAUUAGAUACCCCCGUAGUCC